rnacentral:lncRNA from 1 species
GGAAGGAAUUUCUUUAACUUCAUGUUAUAAACUGUAAGGUUGGGUCAUACCAUAAGCUGUAUGUAUUGGUAUAUUUCUAUGAUUCCUAGUCAUGGUCUGCUAGUUGCUAGAGGUGGUUUAAAAAAGUGGGGAAAAAAUGUUCUGAGCCUGGCCACAUUGGCUUCAGCAUGGCAAAAGAACAACUGCUGUGGCUCAGAUGAGGUAGAACAAGGGAUGAGGUUUGGCUGAGCCACUUGGCAGAGCACUUGUUGACUUCUGAUAGCUUUGGGGCAAAAGAAAGCUCGUAGGAAUGCACUUAAAAGGAGACAAAGUGUGGCUGUUCUGAUAUUUACAGGGAGCUGCUUCUUAACCUAAACAACAGUGUGAAAAAAGAGAAGCAGCACUGACUGGAAAAAAAAAAUCCAACCAGAAUUGACGGUGUUUGGCAUAGCAAUCCAACAACAUGAGAUCUGGCAUGCUGCUAUAGCUCUGACGGGGCACAGGUGCUGCACAGGCAAUAAAUAGAGACAAGCAGCUCAUGCUUGCUGCUGAGAAGAGCAAAACAAAGGAAGGGAGGACAGCACAGGAGGAGGACGCCAGCACGAUGCAGCAGACUUCCAAAAAGGUUCUCAAGAGCUGUGUUGCACAAGGAGACAGAGCAAGAAGUCUGGUAUUGCUGCCUCCUCCAUCACAUCCAGACCAACACUUCUGCCUUCCUCGAAGGGAUACAGGUGGGCCUUUGUACAGAAUGAACAAGUGCAAAUAAUUACUUCUACGUUCCUGACAAAGAGGCACAUGACUUCUUUCCCCCCCGUAUAGCUAGGCUGUGCAGCCAUCAGGUACGUCUCCUGCAGUUGUUCUCAGAAGAAAUUAACAGCUUUCAGUGCCUUGGUACAAUCGCGUAUAACAUCAGCAGCUUAUGAUAAACCCUAUUCUCAAGUGAUUUUGCUGAGACAGGAGUUCUGCUGACUUUCUGUACGAGCGCAGCUCACGGACACGUUUCUCCCACAGCAGCUCCUGCAGACAUUAACAAAUCACAUUUUGUCCCCUGUGACAGCUGGAGCCCAGCGGAAUUCAUAUCGUGUCUCAUCACCACUUCAGCCUACCCAGGCAUUAUAAUAGAGCAGCAGCUCCUGCUCUCUCUUCUGCCUCUAGAAGCUUGCAGCUUCAUUUCAGGAUGUCCCUU